rnacentral:rRNA from 1 species
UACGUAGGGCGCAAGCGUUACUCGGAAUCACUGGGCAUAAAGGGCGUGUAGGCGGAUAGGUAAGUCCGGUGUAAAAUCCCCCGGCUCAACCGGGGAAAGCCAUCGGAUACUGCCUGUCUUGAGUGCGGGAGGGGAGAGUGGAACUCUUGGUGGAGCGGUGAAAUGCGUAGAUAUCAAGAGGAACGCCGGUGGCGAAAGCGACUCUCUGGCCCGUUACUGACGCUGAGGCGCGAAAGCUAGGGGAG